rnacentral:rRNA from 1 species
GCCGCGUGUGUGAAGAAGGCCUUAUGGUUGUAAAGCACUAAAGGCGACGAGGAGGCUACUUAGUUAAUACCUAGAGAUAGUGGACGUUACUCGCAGAAUAAGCACCGGCUAACUCUGUGCCAGCAGCCGCGGUAAUACAGAGGGUGCAAGCGUUAAUCGGAUUUACUGGGCGUAAAGCGCGCGUAGGCGGCUAAUUAAGUCAAAUGUGAAAUCCCCAGAGCUUAACUCUGGGAAUUGCAUUCGAUACUGGUUAGCUAGAGUGUGGGAGAGGAUGGUAGAAUUCCAGGUGUAGCGGUGAAAUGCGUACAGAUCUGGAGGAAUACCGAUGGCGAACGCAGCCAUCUGGCCUAACACUGACGCUGACGUGCGAAAGCAUGGGGAGCAAACAGGAUUAGAUACCCUGCAUAGUCCAUGCCGUAAACGAUGUCUACUAGCCGUUGGGGCCUUUGAGGCUUUAGCUGGCGCAGCUAACGCGAUAAGUACACCGCCUGCGGAGUACGGUCGCAAGACUAAAACUCAAAUGACUCGACGGGGGCCCGCACAAGCGGUGGAGCAUGUGGUCCACUUCGAUGCAACGCGAAC